GGAUGUAGUUCAGUGGCAGAGCAUCUGUCUUGCGUGCAGAAAGGGCUGGGUUCAAUCCCCCUGCAUCUCCA